AGGCCGCUGCGGGCCCGCCGCUCUCCGUCGUCCAGCGCAACCCCGGCGCGACCCCCGCCCCCCGGCCGGGGCAGCCGCCGGCCCGUCCGGGCCACGUGACCCAGGCGGCGGUGUAGACCGGCCCAGCGUCCCGGGCCCUGCGCAUGAUGCGCCCAGGCACUGUCUUCAUAGUCCACAGGUCUCAAACUCCAGCAUCUCAGAAUGAAAGGAUUCACAAGUGCUCACAAGAGGCUUGGCUGCCAGGGGAAGCUCCGACCUGAAGAUUUGAACUAAUGAGGGACUAUAAAGGCCAAGACCUUGUUCUUGCCAUUUUAGAGAUUCAGAAUAUAAUCUACAAAGUUAGAGAUUAUAAUUGGCCUCCACUGUGUGAUUUGAUUCCAAGCUACCCAUGAAGAAACCCAGACUCAGAGGUCACUUGCCUAGGGUCACACAGUGACCUGAGAUGGGAACCACAGGUCGCCACAUAGACUUGGUCAUCAGGAGUGGGCCUGGUGAGGCCAAAGAAGGAGAUUUCAUCUGUCAAGGUUACUCACACAGGGCAGCUGAUUCUGUUUCCUAGGGCCUG
rnacentral:lncRNA from 1 species